UGGGUUUUUGCCUCUGGAUUAACUAUAUAAACGAGCCACCGUGGAAAUUUACAGAUCUUAUUUCCGCCGGAUAAAAAUUGACUUUACAAUCUGCACUUCGACUACAUCAUAGUCUUUUCGUUUCACCUUUAUCGGUUCGUCUUCGCGUUUUGUGUGACACCUGUGGAUUACCGUAAUACAACUAUCAGUUAGCAAUGGACGCUGCCGGAAAAGCCAACCGCACCAACCAGUGCAAUCCGACCCAUGAGCCCUCGGGACCGGGUCACAACGCCGGAUACAAGGGCGACGGGAGCAAAGCCGACCGAGACAACCAUUCCAACCAGGGAAAUCCCAAUAAUGCCAAACACGGCGGCGGUCAGCAACAGCAGCAGGGAAAGGGAAAGAACUGAUUCCCCGCCUACAAUGUGUUCAUCGUGUACAUUCCUACCUGUACUCUAAUAACGAUCUUUUGCAGUAAUUUGUGGUAAUGAAUGUUUUUUAGUUUGUUAUCAUUCGAUAGGAUGUAUGUUUCUUUAUGAACGAAAUCUGAGAACGAUGAACGGUGUUUCUGCUUUGAAAGGGCGUACUUUCUGUGUGUUGUACUGAUACUAUUCCAGUAAAUACAAAACUCUGAUUAAAAUAAGCGGCGCUUUGGUGGAUUGCAAUGAAAUCUUUAGCACA